rnacentral:rRNA from 1 species
CCUACGGGAAGCAGCAGUGGGGAAUAUUGCGCAAUGGGCGAAAGCCUGACGCAGCGACGCCGCGUGAGGGAUGAAGGUCUUCGGAUCGUAAACCUCUGUCAGCAGGGAAGAACGGUCACUGUGCUAAUCAGCAGUGAAUUGACGGUACCUGCAAAGGAAGCACCGGCUAACUCCGUGCCAGCAGCCGCGGUAAUACGGAGGGUGCGAGCGUUAAUCGGAAUUACUGGGCGUAAGGCGCUCGUAGGCGGUAUGUCAAGUCAAGGGUGAAAUCCCCGCGCUCAACGUGGGAACUGCCUUUGAAACUGGCAAACUGGAGUGUGUGAGAGGAUAGUGGAAUUCCAGGUGUAGGAGUGAAAGCCGUAGAUAUCUGGAGGAACAUCAGUGGCGAAGGCGACUAUCUGGCACAUAACUGACGCUGAGGAGCGAAAGCGUGGGUAGCAAACAGGAUUAGAUACCCCGGUAGUC